rnacentral:rRNA from 1 species
UACAGAGGCCCCGAGCGUUAUCCGGAAUUAUUGGGCGUAAAGGGUGUGUAGGUGGCGUAGUUAGUCGGUUGUUAAAGACCCGGGCUUAACCUGGGGAAUGCGACCGAAACGGCUAUGCUUGAGUAUGUGAGAGGUAAGCGGAACUCAAGGUGUAGGGGUGAAAUCCGUUGAUAUCUUGGGGAACACCAAAAGCGAAGGCAGCUUACUGGCACAUUACUGACACUGAAACACGAAAGCGUGGGUAGCGAAUGGG